AGAUUGAACGCUGGCGGCAUGCCUUACACAUGCAAGUCGAACGGCAGCACGGGGGCAACCCUGGUGGCGAGUGGCGAACGGGUGAGUAAUGCAUCGGAACGUGCCCAGUAGUGGGGGAUAACUAGUCGAAAGAUUAGCUAAUACCGCAUACGACCUACGGGUGAAAGCGGGGGAUUCGCAAGAACCUCGCGCUAUCGGAGCGGCCGAUGUCUGAUUAGCUAGUUGGCGGGUAAAAGCCCUCCAAGGCUUCGAUCAGUAGCUGGUCUGAGAGGACGACCAGCCACACUGGGACUGAGACACGGCCCAGACUCCUACGGGAGGCAGCAGUGGGAAUUUUGGACAAUGGGCGCAAGCCUGAUCCAGCCAUGCCGCGUGCGGGAAGAAGGCCUUCGGUUGUAAACCGCUUUUGGCAGGAACGAAACGGCGCGAGCGGAUAUCUCGCGCUAAUGAACGGUACCUGCAGAAAUAAGACACCGCUAACUACGUAGCCAGCAACG
rnacentral:rRNA from 1 species